rnacentral:rRNA from 1 species
GAUGAACGCUGGCGGCGUGCUUAACACACGCAAGUCGAACGAUGAAGCCCAGCUUGCUGGGUGGAUUAGUGGCGAACGGGUGAGUAACACGUGAGUAACCUGCCCUUGACUCUGGGAUAAGCCUGGGAAACUGGGUCUAAUACUGGAUAUGACUUCUCAUCGCAUGGUGGGGGGUGGAAAGAUUUAUUGGUCUUGGAUGGACUCGCGGCCUAUCAGCUUGUUGGUGAGGUAAUGGCUCACCAAGGCGACGACGGGUAGCCGGCCUGAGAGGGUGACCGGCCACACUGGGACUGAGACACGGCCCAGACUCCUACGGGAGGCAGCAGUGGGGAAUAUUGCACAAUGGGCGCAAGCCUGAUGCAGCGACGCCGCGUGAGGGAUGACGGCCUUCGGGUUGUAAACCUCUUUCAGUAGGGAAGAAGCGAGAGUGACGGUACCUGCAGAAGAAGCGCCGGCUAACUACGUG